GGCGAUGUGACGUUAUAAGGCUGCGCCGCGCUCCUGCGUCUGAAGAAAGUGUGCUGACUACUGAACUAGAGCUGAUCGAGAUGCACCCAGAUUACAAUUAUAAAGAUGGAGUUUAUUAAAGAGGAGAGUGAAGACGUGAAGAUUGAAGAAGCAUUAGGAUUCAAACAUGAAGAUACUGAGGAAAAAACAGAGAUGGUGUUUAUUAAAGAGGAGAGUGAACACACGAGUAAUGAAGAAUUCAGAGUCAAACAUGAAGAUACUGAGACACAAACAGCCUCAUGUGGACAGACAUGUUGAGAUCACAUGACCAGACAAAUACUAAUGCUGCCUUUAACCGGAGAAGAUCCUGAUUAUAAUGCCGCGUUCCAGGCAACCCGUAACCCGUGCUUUUCUAACCUUCUACCCGUGAAAGUGCACUGGAACAGCAGUCAAACCCAUGACUUCCCACCCGUGAACUCGUUCUAGAUCGAUGUACUCUCCCAGUUCUGAACUAUGACGUCACAUCGCCAGGGAAACAACAAUGGCAGCCCCUGCGGAUAAUAUUGCCUACGGAUGCAGUGUUUAUGCAAGUGGUACACAUUGAAAAAUAGAUUUUAGGACAAUAUAACAUUGCAAUUAAAUUAAUAAUCUAGCUACAAUUCCUUGCGCUCAGAAAGUUUUGCGUGAGUCGUGGUUUGAAGUCGUGAUUUACGGGCUCAAAAACCUGCCUGGAAC
ensembl:lncRNA